ACGUUAGCAAAAUCUAACGUCAGGCGUGGAAACCUGAGAAUAGUAAAGGCGACAGUAGACGCCACAUGCGUCUUUUUU
rfam:Xenorhabdus bovienii SS-2004 chromosome, complete genome